GCAGUCAGGGGCAGCACGGGUAGCAAUACUUGGUGGCGACCGGCGCAAGGGUGCGUAACGCGUGAGCAACAUGCCCGUAUCAGGGGAAUAAUCCAGGGAAACUUGGUCUAAUACCCCAUAGUAAAUAUUAAAGGCAUCUUUAAUAUUUUAAAGCUUUGGUGGAUACGGAUUGGCUCGCGUGACAUUAGCUAGAUGGUAAGGUAACGGCUUACCAUGGCUACGAUGUCUAGGGGUUCUGAGAGGAAGAUCCCCCACACUGGAACUGAGACACGGUCCAGACUCCUACGGGAGGCAGCAGUGAGGAAUAUUGGACAAUGGAUGGAAAUCUGAUCCAGCCAUGCCGCGUGCAGGAAGACGGCCCUAUGGGUUGUAAACUGCUUUUAUAUGGGAGCAAUAAGACCUACGUGUAGGUUGAUGAGAGUACCAUAUGAAUAAGCACCGGCUAACUCCGUGCCAGCAGCCGCGGUAAUACGGAGGGUGCAAGCGUUAUCCGGAUUUAUUGGGUUUAAAGGGUGCGUAGGCGGUUUGAUAAGUCAGCGGUGAAAUAUUUCAGCUUAACUGGAAGGGUGCCGUUGAUACUGUCAGGCUUGAAUUUAGUUGCUGUGGGUGGAAUGUGUGGUGUAGCGGUGAAAUGCAUAGAUAUCACACAGAAUAUCGAUUGCGAAGGCAGCUCACAAAGCUAAUAUUGACGCUGAUGCACGAAAGUGUGGGGAUCAAACAGGAUUAGAUACCCUGGUAGUCCACACUGUAAACGAUGAUAACUCGCUGUC
rnacentral:rRNA from 1 species